GCAUACAAGAGCAACCGCCCUUUUACACCUGACACUAUUGUUCAGGGACUGCAGUACUUGAAAGCAUCCAUCAAGGCAAUGUCAGUAAAGGUGAUUGAGGCAGGUACCGGGUGUAGAAGCUGAUGAUGUGAUUGGAACAUUGGCAGCACGGAGUGUUGAUGCUGGGUACAAGAUGAAUGGAAAAAUGUCCUUGGAACAUAACCAAUAUUCUUCCAAUAGGGAUUGUUUUGUCUCCAUGGUUGUCACAUGUGAGUAUCCUAUGUGUUAGAUAGGAUACUUCAGACUGUUUUGGAAGCAAAAAAUACAGCUUUGUGAAUAAAGGGCUCCUCUUGCUUUAAGGA